rnacentral:rRNA from 1 species
GAUGGACGCUGGCGGCGUGCUUAACACAUGCAAGUCGAACGCUUCUUUCCUCCCGAGUGCUUGCACUCAAUUGGAAAGAGGAGUGGCGGACGGGUGAGUAACACGUGGGUAACCUACCCAUCAGAGGGGGAUAACACUUGGAAACAGGUGCUAAUACCGCAUAACAGUUUAUGCCGCAUGGCAUAAGAGUGAAAGGCGCUUUCGGGUGCCGCUGAUGGAUGGACCCGCGGUGCAUUAGCUAGUUGGUGAGGUAACGGCUCACCAAGGCCACGAUGCAUAGCCGACCUGAGAGGGUGAUCGGCCACACUGGGACUGAGACACGGCCCAG